GUUGUUCUUUUUUUAAGGCAUAAUUUCUCUGUGUAGCCCUGGCUGCCUUGAAACUCACUCUAGACAAGGCUGGGCUCGAACUCUGAUCCGCCACCUCUGCCUUUCAAGUACUGGCUGGGAUGGAAUGUGUGCACCGCCUCUACCCAGGAGCAAGAAAGACUCAGCCAUCUCCCCAACUGCAGAGGUACCUGUUUUUACAUGGAAUAUCCUGGGGAGGGGGUGGUUGGCAACUGGUUUUGAAUUGAAGUUUUUGAGUAGGAAAACACCGAAAUGUCGGAAAGGAAAGGAGAUAGCAAUGAAAAAGGCGCCUCGUGGAAGCGAACUGCUGUGUGGAAUUUUAUCCUGAGAGCUCGUCUCUCUCGCACAUGCUCCGUCUGUCUCCCUGUGCUUGUUUUUAUACAAUGGGACUCCUAAUCCAUCUUCUGCACAUUAUAGCACGGGAUCCUGUGGGCCAGCUAGGACAGGGGCAUUCCUGUAAAGAACACUUGGGGCUUGGGUUGGGGCUGGGCUGGCAGAGGGUUUGCCUAGCAUGCAAGAAGUCCCAGGUUCCAGCCACAGCACCAAGUGAACUGGGUGUGCUGGUUCAAACCUGUCAUCCUUGCAGUUGAGAGGACAUGGAGGGACCAAGAAGUCAAGGCCAUCUUUUGCCUGGGCUACAAGAUGGUGUCUCAAAAAAAAAAAAAAAAAA
rnacentral:lncRNA from 1 species